GAGUUUGAUCCUGGCUCAGGAUUAACGCUGGCAGUGUGUAUAAUACAUGCAAGUCGACUGCAUUUAGUUGCAGGGCAGACGGGUGAGUAACACGUUGGUAUCUGCCCCAAACUCAGGGAUAACCCUCCGAAAGGAGGGAUAAUACCGGAUGGUCCCGCAAGGGUAAAGCUUCGGCGGUUUGGGAGGAGCCUGCGUAGUAUCAGCUUGUUGGUGGGGUAAAAGCCUACCAAGGCUAUGACGCUUAGCUGGUCUGAGAGGAUGAUCAGUCACAAUGGAACUGAGACACGGUCCAUACUCCUACGGGAGGCAGCAGUAAAGAAUCUUCCGCAAUGGGCGAAAGCCUGACGGAGCAACACUGCGUGGUGGAUGAAGGCUUUCGGGUCGUAAACACCUUUUAUAGGGGAAGAAGUUCUGACGGUACCCUAUGAAUAAGCGACGGCUAAUUACGUGCCAGCAGCCGCGGUAAUA
rnacentral:rRNA from 1 species